rnacentral:lncRNA from 1 species
GAACACAGUGCAAGGAGCCAUGCUGUGACACAGUGUCCUGGAUGACAUCUGCUGGAGAUGGACCAAACCGUGCAUUUGACACAGGUAGGGGCACGCAUGGCCGAGCACUCGCUGUCACAGUGGGAAGAAUUUAUGUUUGCAUUUGCCUCUCGUCCCUUCUCACAUAUGGUCUUCCAGGCCUUUGGGAAUUCCAUGGAGAAGGGGAAGGAGAGUUCUGAAAGGAGCUUGCCGUGCCAAGGGAGCCAGUGCUGAAUAAAGAUGAGCUUGCCAUUCCUCCCUGACUCACAGCAAUAGGUAAGAUAGGCAUUGAGGAUCUUCUAUGUGCUAGGUCCUAUGCAAAGUGCUGGUAUUCAAGAUAAACAAGAAGACCCUGCUUGCCUUCUUAAAAGAAUCCUAUACCUGGGAAGGAUGGUCACAUGAAUAAAUGAGGAAGAAGAGAUGGAGGUGCACAGAUUGUCCCCAAAGGAGAAGGACCUAGUGGUUCUCCCCAGAAAUGAUAGUCCUUAACAAUAUUUCCAAAGUCAGAUAAAGAAGGCAACUCUUCUGCAA